ACCAGUAUGGCCGAGUGGUUAAGGCGUUGGACUUAAGAUCCAAUGGACAAAUGUCCUCGUGGGUUCGAACCCCACUUCUGGUA
rnacentral:tRNA from 2 species